AUAUUAUUAAGUGGAGGAAAAGAAACCAAAAGGGAUUCCCCCAGUAGCGGCGAGCGAAAAGGGAUCAGCCCAAAGCCGAAUCCCUUGCCUCUGGCAUAGGGAAAUGUGGCGUAUGGGAGGCGGUGCUUUCGGAAGGGUGCAGCGACUCAAGUCCCCAUGAAUGGGGCUACGACCGAAGUGGGUGUGAGUCCCGUUCAGUCGCUCUCCUCGCUCCGAGUUCCGUUUUCCCGGGAGUCGGGUUGCUUGAAAGUGCAGCCCAAAGUGGGUGGUAUGCUCCACCUAAGGSUAAAUAUCCCCGAGAGACCGAUAGCAAAAAAGUACCGUGAGGGAAAGUUGAAAAGAACUUUGAAGAGAGAGUUCAAUAGUACGUGAAACCGCUUAGAGGUAAACGGGUGGGCCCUCGAAGUCUUAAGGCAGGUAGAUUCAGCACGGGCAUUAUCGAAGUGUUCGGGUUACGAGGGGCGGAAGUCAACGACUAGACCUCGCCUUUCUAGCCGCGAUCCUUGCCCGUGCGUAUUUCUAACCUGCCAAUAAGAGGCCGCGACCGGUUGGUAGAUGUUUUAAAGGACAGUGGGGCAGGUGUCCUACCUCACUUCGGUGGGGUGGGUGUUAUAGUCCACUGACAGCUGAACGUCACGCCGACCGGACACGAGAGUACCUCGCUUGGUAUUACCAGAGGUCUGCGGUCAGUAGGCCGGGUUCCACCCGACCCGUCUUGAAACACGRCCCCAAGGAGUAUWCAAGAUAACGGGUGAUUUGGCGUGCGCUUUCUCGUCRGGGAGCCAGGGGUCUGCGGUCAGUAGGCCGGGUUCCACCCGCACCCGUCUUG
rnacentral:rRNA from 1 species